rnacentral:rRNA from 1 species
GACGAACGCUGGCGGCGUGCCUAAUACAUGCAAGUAGAACGCUGAAGGAGGAGCUUGCUCUUCUGGAUGAGCUGCGAACGGGUGAGUAACGCGUAGGUAACCUGCCUGGUAGCGGGGGAUAACUAUUGGAAACGAUAGCUAAUACCGCAUAAGAGUAGAUGUUGCAUGACAUUUGCUUAAAAGGUGCAAUUGCAUCACUACCAGAUGGACCUGCGUUGUAUUAGCUAGUUGGUGAGGUAACGGCUCACCAAGGCGACGAUACAUAGCCGACCUGAGAGGGUGAUCGGCCACACUGGGACUGAGACACGGCCCAGACUCCUACGGGAGGCAGCAGUAGGGAAUCUUCGGCAAUGGACGGAAGUCUGACCGAGCAACGCCGCGUGAGUGAAGAAGGUUUUCGGAUCGUAAAGCUCUGUUGUAAGAGAAGAACGAGUGUGAGAGUGGAAAGUUCACACUGUGACGGUAUCUUACCAGAAAGGGACGGCUAACUACGUGCCAGCAGCCGCGGUAAUACGUAGGUCCCGAGCGUUGUCCGGAUUUAUUGGGCGUAAAGCGAGCGCAGGCGGUUAGAUAAGUCUGAAGUUAAAGGCUGUGGCUUAACCAUAGUACGCUUUGGAAACUGUUUAACUUGAGUGCAAGAGGGGAGAGUGGAAUUCCAUGUGUAGCGGUGAAAUGCGUAGAUAUAUGGAGGAACACCGGUGGCGAAAGCGGCUCUCUGGCUUGUAACUGACGCUGAGGCUCGAAAGCGUGGGGGAGCAAACAGG